AUUGAACGCUGGCGGCAUGCUUUACACAUGCAAGUCGAACGGCAGCGGGGUAGUGCUUGCACUACUGUCCGGCGAGUGGCGAACGGGUGAGUAAUAUAUCGGAACGUACCGAGUAAUGGGGGAUAACCAAUCGAAAGAUUGGCUAAUACCGCAUACGUCCUGAGGGAGAAAGCGGGGGAUCGCAAGACCUCGCGUUAUUCGAGCGGCCGAUAACUGAUUAGCUAGUUGGUGGGGUAAAGGCCUACCAAGGCGACGAUCAGUAGCGGGUCUGAGAGGACGAUCCGCCACACUGGGACUGAGACACGGCCCAGACUCCUACGGGAGGCAGCAGUGGGGAAUUUUGGACAAUGGGGGCAACCCUGAUCCGGCCAUGCCGCGUGUAUGAAGAAGGCCUUCGGGUUGUAAAGUACUUUUGUUAGGGAAGAAAAGGGAAGUGCUAAUACCACUUUUUGCUGACGGUACCUAAAGAAUAAGCACCGGCUAACUACGUGCCAGCAGCCGCGGUAAUACGUAGGGUGCGAGCGUUAAUCGGAAUUACUGGGCGUAAAGCGAGCGCAGACGGUUAUUUAAGCAGGAUGUGAAAUCCCCGGGCUUAACCUGGGAACUGCGUUCUGAACUGGAUAGCUAGAGUGUGUCAGAGGGGGGUAGAAUUCCACGUGUAGCAGUGAAAUGCGUAGAGAUGUGGAGGAAUACCGAUGGCGAAGGCAGCCCCCUGGGAUAACACUGACGUUCAUGCUCGAAAGCGUGGGUAGCAAACAGG
rnacentral:rRNA from 1 species